CAGCAGCCGCGGUAAUACGUAGGGUGCGAGCGUUAAUCGGAAUUACUGGGCGUAAAGCGUGCGCAGGCGGUUUUGUAAGACAGGCGUGAAAUCCCCGGGCUCAACCUGGGAAUGGCGCUUGUGACUGCAAAGCUAGAGUGCGGCAGAGGGGGAUGGAAUUCCGCGUGUAGCAGUGAAAUGCGUAGAUAUGCGGAGGAACACCGAUGGCGAAGGCAAUCCCCUGGGCCUGCACUGACGCUCAUGCACGAAAGCGUGUGGAGCAAACAGGACUAGAUACCCCAGUAGUCCCUGUCUCUUAUAA
rnacentral:rRNA from 1 species